rnacentral:lncRNA from 1 species
CUAUUCACUAUUCUAUAGACCCCACAUUGGAUGAAAUCUUUUUAAAAACUCACACUAAAAAGAAGGACGAUUCUUGGGUUGAUGAAAAAGCAAAAAGAAUAUAUGUAAGGAAUAUAUUAAGUCAUUCAUUUUUUCAUUUGUAUUUCUUGUAAAAGUAAUUUGAUUAUGUUACAUUAUGUUCUAUUUGAGCAUGAAACAUUUCAAGGUAAGUUGCAACAGACCUCCAAAGGUGGGGAAACAUCUAGUAGUUGUAGCCAAGUGGUUAAUGCAGAAACUCGCUUAGACAUGUGGCUCCAAUCUGUUGGGGGGAAAGAAUAAAAGGUGUGUUUAUGGUGCUAGAGAUAGAUCUUUGCUUAUAGACUAGGUGUCGCAAGUCUUGCCUCAGAUUCUCGUCAAUCUAGAGGUUGCACCAAUGUCUUGUCCCAACACUCUAAUGAGACAACUGCAUAUAUAACACCGUUUGAGGAGCGAGCAAAAGCGGAAAAACAUGAGGCACAAGAGGAAUUAAGGAAAGUAGAGCAACUUCGACAAGAGGAAGUUCAACAAACAAAGCAGUGCACUACAGAGCUCUAGAUGCAGCUAGCAACAUUGACAAAAAGUGUUGCUUCCAUACUGGUUGAAUCCUUCUGUCGUCGUCAUCAUUUAAAUUAUGAUGAGGAUGAGUCUAACGAUGAUAACAGCGAGGAGUAAAACACAUUUAUGCGUCAGUUUCAUUUAGUAGUUAUGACUACAUAUUUUGCUUACACUUAUAAGCAUUAUCUAUAUAUAUUCUUACGAUAAUGUCGAUAUGUGUAUUUUGAAAUUUACGGUAGUGUAUAUUGUCCUUUUUUUGAGACUUAUGGUAGUGUAAAUUGUCUUUAUUUUGAGACUUAUGGUAGUUAUUGUAUGUAUUUUGAAAACACUAUUUACAUAAUACUUCCAUUUGUUUUGGCAAUGAUGUUUUGUUAUGUUUACAAUUUAUUUUAAAAAUAAAGCAAACAAUAAAAACAAAAUAGAUUGAAAAUUAUUUUUUCAUUACCCACGAAAAUUCCAUGAGUAACGGUUAGAUAAUUUGAAUGUUAUUAUCUAUGCUCCUUUCAUGAUUAAUUUACACAUGAACAUUUCAUAGAUAAAACUAUAAAUAGAAAACAAUAGAAUUUUUUGAGGAUUGUCCGUGAGUAGUGUUACUUGUGACUUUUCUAUAGAUAAAUAACUACGUCUUUAUCUAUAGAAAAUCUCCAGGUAACUUUACUCGCGAAGACUCGGUGAGUCAUACUAUCCACAAACAUUCCUUAAGUCUUAAGUAAGUGUAUCUCAAUAGUUUUUUCUUUAAAUCUGUGAAUGGAAUUCCCUUCCAUUUUCCACUUUAAAAUUAAAAAAUUGUUACUUUUUUUAAUAAUGUUGAUGGCCUUUUAAGUUCUCUAAGUGUAUAAUAUAAUGAAGUGUCGUGAAAGGACCACAUGCGGUGACAACAAAAAUGCCAAUAAAUAAUGAGAUGUGGCCCUUUUAAUUAGAGACAGACAAUUACAUUCACUUAUCUUUUACCGAACUAUAUUAAUAAUUAAAUUAAAUAACCUUUGAGAUUUUCAAAGAUGAAAACAAACUCUUUUUUUAACUUUACCAAUUGCAUAAAAGUCCAUUUUUUUUUCUUCUAAUUCAAACUCAGAUUAAAAAGAGACAUAGAUAUAAUAUCUAAUUAAUUUUGGCGGUUUCAAUUUUUUUUCUUCAAAAAACCCUUGUAAGUUAACGCUCGAUUAUUUAUUUAUUUAUUUAUAAUUUUCCGUUUCAAUUACUCCUAAGGAUGGGAAUAGGCUAGGCCGUCCGACAGGGGCCUAUGGCCUGACCUACUUAUGGCCUGGCUUGGUCUGGCCUGUUUAAUAAAAAGGUCAGACUCAAGCUGUUUUUAAAGUCUAUUUAUGUAAAUAGGUCAGGCUCAGGCUUGUAAAAAAGCCUAUUAGGCCUGACAGGCCGGCCUAUAUAUAUUUUAUAUGUUUUCCAUUCUCUAUUUUUUCUUCUUCUAAUUUCCAUUGCACUCACUCCAACAAACAUGUAUGAAAACAACAUAUUUUUUUUUAUAAAAAUCGAUAUUAUUUAUUUGUUACUUUAUAUUUUAUAAAAAUCAAUACUAUUUAUUUGUUAUCUUUAUAUAUAUUAUUAGUAUAUAAAUUUAGAAACCCUAAUUGUUUAUUAUUACUGAAUAUGAGUUUGUUUGAGAAGUAAUAUUCCGAGUUGUUUGAGAGGAUUUGUUUAGAGGUAAUAUUCUGAGUUGUUUGAGAGAUAAUAAUAUGUGUGUUUGUUUCAAUAAAAAAUUUAUUCUUUUAAACCAAAAACUAUUUUUUAGGGUUUAAAAGGUAUUUGUUUCAUAUUUUAAAAAAAUAAUUUUGUUAGAAAAAUCAUUUUUUUUUAUUUAAUAUAUAUAUAUAUACAUAUACACAUUAGUAUUGGUAUAUGGAGAAUCAUAUAAAUCGAUAUGGAUAGAGCAUCAUGUAGCUAUAGAUAAUUGUUUAUUUAUUACCUAUAUAUAUGAUGUUGCACGAGAUGAUUUGUUUGAGAGGUAAUAAUCUGAGUUUGUUUGAGACCAUUUGUUUGAGAGAUAAUAAUGAGUGCGUUUGUUUUAAUAAAAAAUUUAUUCUUUUAAACCAAAAAUCAUUUUUUAGGGUUUAAAGGGUGUUUGUUUCAUAUUUUUUUUUAAAUUAUUUUGUUAGAAAAAUUAUUUUUAAUGUGAAUAAGGCUUUUAAAUAGGCUUACAGGUUAGGCCAUGAUAGGCCGUAGGCCAGGCUCAGGCCGAAAAAAAAGCCUAUCAUAGGCCGUAGGUCAGGCUUAGGCCUCAAAAAUUCAUCGUAGGCCAGGCUCAGGCCUUUCAAAGCCUGGCCUGGCCUGGCCUAUUCCCACCCCUUCCUACAACUCAAAAGGUACUGUCUUGUGCGAAUUACACUAGAAUGAAUAAAAUUACAAAAAAAAUUGAUUAUUUUUGGUCACGUAGGGUUUCUAUUUUGUAAAUAUUGGUGAUAACGGUGGUUAUUUUCGUUUUACUAAAGAACGAUUUUUUUUUAAUUUAAAUUAAUAGAAAUUACAUCAAUUGAAAACACUAUAAUUUAAAUCGUUAAAAAUGAAAAUUAUAUAAGUUAAUAGCACAAAAAGGAAUAAUAUUUACAAAUGUAACAAAAUUUAUAAAUAUGACAAAAAUUGAGGUAUUUGGAAAACCCAUGUCUCUGGAGUUGUAAAGUUGACGAUGCAAAAAUCAUUGACUGAAUUUUUACUAUUGAUUGAAGCUAAUAUGUCAAUCUGAACCAAAGUACACCACAAUAAGACGGAAAAUCAAAAUGCCACACCAAGACGAAGAACAAACACAAUUUCAGAGUAAGACGACGAAACCAAAAAAAAUACGAAAAAAACUUCAAUACGUGUAGAAAUCACUUAUUUAAAUAAAAGAUAAGAACAAAAAAUAUCAAAAUGAGUGAUUUUGGACUAACAAUUGGUCUUAAAUCCCAUCUUUGAUAAAAAAUGAAAAAUAAUCAAAUGGUAGAGAGGAAAAUAGCAAGCGGACAAACAACUGACCUACUAAUGGUGGUUAUUGACAAAGAAAAAUGUUAAUAAAUAUUUUAAUCGUAUAUGGUAAACAAUCAAAUGUGAUUUUUUUUAGAGUUUUAUUGUUACAUCAUAAUUAAUCAUUCGUAGACAUGACUUUAUAAAUAUUUAUACUAAUUAAAGUCAAAUAAAUAUAAAUUAUAUUUAUUUUUUUGUCUAUGAUAAUUUAAUUUUUAGAAAAUUAAUUUUUUUUAAUUUUUAUUUAUGAUAGUAAAAUAAUAUAUCACAAUCUUAAAAUACGAAUAUUUAAUAUUAAAAAAAAGUAUAAAAAAAUACAGAGUAUGUUAAAUAACUUAUGAUAUGCGGAAAUAUUAUCCAAAUAUUAUCUAUGUUAGUAAACUUUUGUAAUUUCUUUUUAUAUAUUUUUUGUAUUUUUUAAUUAUUUUAAUGAAUUUAUAUUACUAUUAUUAUUAUUAUUAUUAUUAUUAUUUUGAUUUUGGUACAAUUUAAAUUAUUAUUAUUAUUAUUAUUAUUAUUAUUUUACUGUAUGCUUUAUUUACACUCUUUAAAAUAAAUUAAAACAAGAAAAAAUGGUCAGUACGAAAUCCCCGCUCUUUCAGAAGGCAAUCUUCUUAUAUUAAAAACAAUAAUAGUAAAAAACAAAUUUCAACACAAGGUCGCUAUUCUAAAAUUAAGUGUCCUUCACAAAGUCCAAUUUCAAAAGAGUGAUCUCUCAUUAGUUUCAAAAGUAAGAUGUAUUGAUAUUUAAAUUUUAAAUCGGUGUUUUAUUUUUAAAUGUGUGUUAUUUUAAAAAAAAAUCCUAUUUUUAAUUAGGAGUAAGAAAAUGUUCAGACCGAUUAAUACGGGUUUACGGCCUAAGAGCUUCGCUAUACUGACAAGAAAAAAAAGGAUUGUACAUCAACAAUGUAAAUAAAUUUUAUCAAAGGAUAAUGCAUGUUCAUUAAAUCUUGAUGACAAAGGCAUGUUUCUUUAGACUUGUUUUGUUUUCUAAAUGUUAGUUGUAACUCAAAUUAGACAGUUGCUUGAUUGUUUUUAUUCUUUUUUGGUAUGGCUAGUUUUUGUUUCUAAUAUAGUUAGGAAUGACAACGAGGGGGAGAGAGACUAUUUUAAGUGUUACCAACUCCGCAUCUACAACUUCAAUACAAUCUCCGCACUUGCAUUUGUACUUGUCGGUAAUGACUUUUUAACAUCCACCUUCACACUCAACGGGGACAGGUUUCCCCGCUCCACUCCCACUUCCACUCAAAAAAUUAGAAUUUAUUUAUUCAUAGCAUCAAAAAUCAAUAAUUUGACUAAAUAGUAACAUUCAACCUAAGUUCUAAAAUUCAAAUAAUCAAAAUCAUUAAAAAUAAAUCAAAAUUAAUCAAGAAUCAUAAUAAACUAAAAUUAUUAUAAAUCAAGAAUAUAAACCAUAACAAAAUAAACCAUAUGAAAAGAGUUUUUUGUUACAGUAGAUUUCACAAUAAAUAAACUAUGGCAGAUUGUAGAACUUCCAUAUAAAUAAAUAAAUAAAUACAAUUGAUUUCAAAAUAGAGUGAAAAUAAAUAACACAAUGAGAUUGAAGGCCGAUGAUGUUCUGUCAACGAACUUAGCUUAUCAUGGGAAACAAGAAUGAAAGACUAGGUUGUUUUUCUUUUGUUACAAAAGGCAAGGCUGUGAAAUGGUAUCGAUUGAUAAUUCUUAAGAAUAUAAUCUGUUAAAUUAAUAAAAAAAACAAGUUAGAAUCACAAACAUACAAGCAAGAAUCACAAACGACAAACUGGAGACAAUGGAGAAAGCACGCGGAGGAGGACGAUCGACAGAGAAUAGAGACGAUGCUGGGAGGAGGACAAAGACGGCGCACAGAGGAGGACACGCAGAGGAGAACAUAGACGACACACGAAGGAGGACGAAGACAUCGCACAGACAUGAGGGAGGACGACUGGGACAAAAAAAGUGAGGGUAGAGAGUAUGGAUGACAACAUAACCUGCACUGGCAAGUACGCACCCAAACCCGUUUGUUUUGGGCAGAGAAAACCCGCUUUGAUUGGGUGCGGAUGAGGAUUUUCCCCAAAAUUAAAAUUCGACGGCGGGGUGAUACCAACUUGUAACUCAAUUUUCUCUAUGAAUUCUCAAUGAAAAUUAGUGAAACCAAUGUCUAUUUUGAAGAUAAUUAAGUCUAGUUUCAAAUAUGAUAUAAAUCAGUUCAAACCAUUAUCAACGAAGAAAGUUAUGAACAACAUACCUAAGGUGUAUCUUUGCUGGUUUAAAGACAACAUUAUACUAUUUUUAUUUCAAUCUUUAUAUUCUCAAUUUCAUAUGCUCAACUAAGUAAAAUAUCUUCAAAAUUCAGCAUAAAAUCAAUUAAUUACGAAUACUAAACAAUUAUCAUCUCAUCACCAAGCCAACCACAACACUCAAUAAUCAUAAUAAAACAACAACUGUUCAUAAUAAUUAAUACAAACACUUAAUAUGUAUUCUUAAUAUUCAUUGAUAUCAAAUCAAAAGGAUUAUCUCAUUACUCAAACAUGCAAAUCAUAAACAUUUAUUAGCAACAUAUAAUCAAGAUUUCUAAGCGCACAUAAGAGAGGUUUUAAGAAAAUUUUCUAUGUUACCUUUAAGAAUGAAAAUCAAAGGAGAUGAAAUCCACCAUUGUUGAGUUUUAUGUUUCCUUUUCAAACAUUCAAGAAUCCUAACUCAAAAGUUGACUCAUUCUUUCUCUAUUCCCCUUCCAUGGUUGAACCAUUAAUCUUCUAUAUCUUCUUGUUUUCUUGUCGUCAUUCUUCUUUAUUCUAUUCAUCCCUCACAUCUCCUUCCUCUAUCACAAUUUCCCUUGUCUCUUUUUUCUUUCUAUCAGCUCUCUUGUUAUUGCUUAUUUUAUUUUAUUUUAUUUUAUUUUCAUCUCAUCUCAACUCUC